rnacentral:rRNA from 1 species
GAUGAACGCUAGCGGGAGGCUUAACACAUGCAAGUCGUGGGGCAGCACGGGGUAGCAAUACUCUGGUGGCGACCGGCGCACGGGUGAGUAACGCGUAUGCAACCUGCCCUGUACAGGGGGAUAGCCCGGAGAAAUUCGGAUUAAUACCCCAUAAAGAUAUCGAGAGGCAUCUUUUGAUAUUUAAAGCUUCGGCGGUACGGGAUGGGCAUGCGUAACAUUAGCUAGUUGGUAAGGUAACGGCCUACCAAGGCCACGAUGUUUAGGGGUCCUGGGAGGGUGAUCCCCCACACUGGUACUGAGACACGGACCAGACUCCUACGGGAGGCAGCAGUGAGGAAUAUUGGUCAAUGGGCGCAAGCCUGAACCAGCCAUCCCGCGUGCAGGAAGAAUGCGCUAUGCGUUGUAAACUGCUUUUCCAGGGGAAGAAAAUCCUGUACGUGUACGGGACUGACGGUACCUUGGGAAUAAGCAUCGGCUAACUCCGUGCCAGCAGCCGCGGUAAGAC